rnacentral:rRNA from 1 species
CCUACGGGUGGCAGCAGUGAGGAAUAUUGGUCAAUGGACGCAAGUCUGAACCAGCCAUGCCGCGUGCAGGAAGACGGCUCUAUGAGUUGUAAACUGCUUUUGUACGAGGGUAAACGCAGAUACGCGUAUCUGUCUGAAAGUAUCGUACGAAUAAGGCUCGGCUAACUCCGUGCCAGCAGCCGCGGUAAUACGGAGGAUUCAAGCGUUUUCCGGAUUUAUUGGGUUUAAAGGGUGCGUAGGCGGGCGGUUAAGUUAGAGGUGAAAUCCCGAGGCUCAACUUCGGAAUUGCCUCUGAUACUGUUCGUCUAGAGAGUAGUUGCGGUAGGCGGAAUGUAUGGUGUAGCGGUGAAAUGCUUAGAGAUCAUACAGAACACCGAUUGCGAAGGCAGCUUACCAAGCUACUUCUGACGUUGAGGCACGAAAGCGUGGGGAGCAAACAGGAUUAGAUACCCCAGUAGUC